rnacentral:misc_RNA from 1 species
AAAGUAAAGCUGCACAAAAAUCAUUAUUAUUGAACAAUAAACAUCUUUAUUUGGAAAAUUAAAUUGGUCUACCAUUACUGGAUAAGCCAUACCAAAGGAGGACAAGAAAAAAGUGUCCGGAGUGCAACAGAAGGUUCUCUCAAGACAAGGCACACCAGAGGGUAUCCCUAAGGUGGGAUUGCUAAGGUGGAACUUGAUAAACUUUUUCCCUCAAGCAAACAGGAGUGAUUAUGACAGCUUAAGUAAACCAACUGCUGGCUUCCUGACUCAAGGCUCCUGGAUCUAUAAAUUAGUUCUUACAUGAAAUGUCCCAUGAAUUAACCGAUAUUCCAUAAGAAUCUAGAUUGCAUAUAAACUUGAAAAAUGAUUUCUGGAUCUUUGUUGCAAUUCAAUAUAGUUUAAGGGCCUUACGAGAGAAAAUAAUGGCAACUAGUUUUGGCUAUUCUUGAUGUGAUUCAUCAUCACAAAAUUUUUACAAGUUUUUCAACAGUGGUAGAAAGAAAUUUUCUGCAAAA